AGAGUUUGAUCAUGGCUCAGGAUGAACGCUGGCGGCGUGCCUUAAGCAUGCAAGUCGAACGAUUUCAGUAGCAAUAUUGUUUUAGUGGCAGACGGGUGAGUAAUAUAUAGGAAUCUACCUCUACGUGGGGGAUAGCUCGCCGAAAGGCGGGGUAAUACCGCAUAUGGCCUACGGGUCAAAGUCCUUUACCGGACGCGAAGAGAGGAGCCUGUAUCCUAUCAGCUAGUUGGUGAGGUAAUGGCUCACCAAGGCUACGACGGGUAGGGGGUGUGAGAGCACGACCCCCCACAAGGACACUGAGACACGGGUCCUACACCUACGGGUGGCAGCAACUGGGAAUCUUGCGCAAUGGACGAAAGUCUGACGCAGCGACGCCGCGUGUGGGAUGAAGGCCUUCGGGUCGUAAACCACUGUGGAAAGGGAAUAAAAAAAUGAAGGUACCUUUCUAGAAAGCACCUGCUAACUACGUGCCAGAAGCCUCGGUAAUACGUAGGGUGCAAGCGUUAUCCGGAUUUAUUGGGCGUAAAGCGUUCUGUAGGCGGUUUUGUAAGUAUAUGGUUAAAGGCUUCGGCUCAACCGAAGACAUGCUGUGUAUACUGCAAGACUAGAUGGUUAUCGGGAGUAUCGGAAUUCUUGGUGGAGGGGUGAAAUCCGUUGAUAUCAAGAGGAACACCAAAGGCGAAGGCAGAUACUUAGGUAACUCAUGACGCUGAUAGACGACAGCUAGGGGAGCGAAAGGGAUUAGAGACCCCUGUAGUCCUAGCCGUAAACGAUGGACACUAGCUGAUCGGAUUUUUCUGGUCGGCGUAAGCUAACGCGUUAAGUGUCCCGCCUGGGAAGUACGGCCGCAAGGCUAAAACUCAAGGAAUUGACGG
rnacentral:rRNA from 1 species